UGUUGUUAUUUGAGGCUUUUUCCCUGAGAACCAGAACGGCCGAAGUGUAAACAGUUUCAUAUAGAACAAAGACAAUGAACCUUGUUCAAUAAGAGGCAAUAGAUGAUCCGCAUUUGAGUUUCAGUUGCAUAGACUAUCAGUAAGGGGCAGAGCACAGGAGGCUAUUUAAGGGAUUGCAAACACAGGCAGGAGCAGGAUGGACACCAGGUUAGGACUUGGAACAUGGGUCCCCAGGGGAAGCAGAUUCGGGAACGGGAAGGUUCAGGAAGACUGGCGGUGUCUUCCCGCCCAAGCCUGCCCCCCCCAGGCUGCCUCUGUCCAUGCAGCAGGAGACACUGAGGGCAGAGAGGCUGUGGAGGCUAGAGGAUGAAGCAGACAUCGGCUACCGGCAGUAGAGACAGUGCUUACUCAGUACCUGGGGGAUGUGCUUACUUCACAAAGUACCUGGAUGAUGCUUACUCAGUACCUGGGGGCUUCAGUAACAUGGGCCCUCCUGCAGAUACAACAGGGGCAGCUGGGAAUUCACCGCCAGGGGACAGUGAGGGCCAGGGAUGGACACGUACUAAGAGGGGACAUCAAGGGUGAGGGAUUCUUGCUAGACAGGCCUAACGGGACUCUUGCCAAAGGCAAGCCGAGGACCCAAACACCUCAAGCGUUGUUGAGGGACCUGAUCAGGUAUCAACGGUGAGGGAUUCCUGCUCAACGGACUUAGUGGGAUUCUGCCUAAAAGCGGGCUGGGCAGGUCGAGGCUCGGGGACGAGGCUCCAGUGAGAAGGGGGCUCCGAGGAGCCUGUCUAGAGUUGGUUCAAGAAGGGUCUUUGUCACUAUGGUGAACAGUGGGACAGGGCGCUGGGACAGGGGCUGAGGGCGGUGCUCUGCGUCCCCCUCCCCAGCAGGCGUCUUCUCCACCUUGGCCUCUCUCCCGCUCUCUCCAUGCUCUUGGACCCCACUGAGCGAGCAGACUUCAUCCACCAGGCCACACCAUCACCGAGCUGUUCCCCUUCCUCUGAGAGAGAGGGUCCUGGGUGCCCCCACUUCUGUGCUGCACAGCAAGGUUGCAUUCACUCAUGAAGAGGGACAAGGUCCCCUGGCAGACACCUCACACCCGAACACAGUCAAGCCUGGUAAAGCGCAGGCCGUGUGGGGCAGAAGGCAGUGACUGGGAGCCCAGCUCCAGCCGGACGCCCUAGACUUGCAUCGGAGGGCUGUCAGGUGCACGAUACCUGUUGACACCAGGAUGAAAUGCAGAGAUAUCGCAACACAUCCACCCCGAGAAGUGCUUUUCUGAUGGAAGCGAUGGAUUUGUUCACAGCGGUCUGCGAAUUUUGCACCCGUCGCCUCGGGUCCUCUGUGCAGGAUGUGAAACCUUGCUAGAGCUUGGGAGAUGCGUUCUGCUGUACGGGGACCUGGAGGUGAUAGACAUAAAGCCACGUCUCCGACUUUUACCCGGAUUCCCUGAGCUGCCUGUUCAGUGAACGUUCAGCGAUUCGGUCUACCCUUCCACUGAAGGCAGGAGAAGGAAUUCAGUUAUCUGUUUGAAGUUGCCCUGCUCCUAAUGCCUUUGAGACAGAGAACUUUGCUUCUUUUUUCUUUUAAGGGUCAGAGGUCGAGAAAUCUUUGCAGCCUCGUCUGCAGUCGGGGCUCACGCCAGGGAGCCCCUCAGCGUGGUCCCGGUUUGUGAUGGUUUGUGCACAUCCUUCAGCCGCUGCUCAACGCGAUGGCUCUGAUGUGGUGUCUUCUUCCAGGCUUCCCUUUCUUGGAAGUGACAUGUGGCCGAUCCGUGUGUGGGCUUCACGAGUGGCCGCUCUGUCGCUCCUUCGCCGUCCCUCUGGGUUUCUCCCUAAUGUCUACCAGUCCCUUUUCAGAGCCGCAGGGGUGGGGGGCUCUAGCCGGCUCCUCGCUUCUCCUCUUGGGCAGAGGGAUCCCCACCCGAAGGGCCGCAAAGAAGUUGGUGCUUUUUCAGAAUUGAAGAGCCUCUACCUUUGUGACCUGCAAGCUCAGGGACCUAGGAGCCCAUGUCCCUUUCUGCCUGGUGUAAUCAGCACGUCUGGUCCGGAUGGUUGGUGCUGGGCAGACCAGGUCAGUGCUGGUGCGACUAGCCAUAUGCUAAUUAGACUCAACAGUUUCUGAUCCCAUGAUCUCAUCAUCUCUUUCCGACCAGAAGCGCAGGACUGAAAACAUGUCCUUUCAGCCACCGUGAAGGACAAGCGUCCUCAGCUCAGACUCAAAUGUGACCAAAGUUUUAUUUAUAAUGACAAAGUUCAUAAUCAGAGAAGUGGUCUCAGAGA